AUUCUACUCCCUCCAUUGCACAAUACAUGCCUUCUAUUUGUCAAAAUAUAUAUGUAUCUAGACAUGUCUUAGUAUAUAGGUACAUCCAUUUUUGGACAAAUGGAAGUCAAGUAUUUUGGAACGGAGGGAGUACAUA
rnacentral:pre_miRNA from 1 species